rnacentral:lncRNA from 1 species
AUGUUUACAGUGAAGUGGGCUGCUGUAACAAUGAUACCCAUAUGGCAAAAACCUUUUUUUUUUUUCCAGAUUAAAAGCUACCUUCAUGCUUUAAGUACUCAGUCUAAACAGAACGUCUGGCUGGCAUUGAUAAAUAGGUUAUAUUUAGGAAAAGAAACAGUAAAACAGGAUAUGACUACAAUAAACACUGAGACUGUCACUGAACAGGAUAAAGGAUGAAGAUCCCACCCACUGCCCCAAACGCACUAUGAAAAUGUUUUUCUAAUGGCUUGCUUCUAAAGUAAUUUUUGAGUUCAACAAAGGCUGAAUAAAAGAUAAAACUUAAGGUUCAAUAUUUCAUAUUUUGAGGGUUUUGGAGUGACAGAUGAAAUGAUUUUGAAUUAAAAAUUUAAGUAAUUUCAAACAUUUAAAUGUAAGUAGAGGAAGUGUACAAACUAGAAAGAAAAAAAUCAUUAAAAAUGUAGUUAAAAACUGCUAACUUUGCAGCUAAUAAAUAGUAGGAAAAUGAUUAAAGCAGCUUUAAAUUCACGUGAUAUUGUGGUGAUCAGAAAAUGCUAUGAAAUGUCCAUGUGCAUGAAUCUAAGAAAUAUUUCUUGAGCUGAACAUGGUUGGCAGGGUGGAUUGAAAUACACAGUUUUGUCUGGAUUCGGGGUGACGUGACGGUAACCUCAUGGUUAAGAAUCAGUUCUGGUAAACCAAAAUUUGCAGGUUCAACCUCAUGCAGGAAUCACAGCAAUCCUGUGAUUUCUACUUUACUGUCAUGUCAUAAAGCAGACCAUUUAGUGGUGCAGACCCUGUCAAUUAUUUUCUAUAAACUGCCUUGAAUGAAAAAUAAGUUGCAUAAGAUCCAUUUACUGAAAAUAAAGGCACCCAGACCCAAACUUCAUCACAAAUAGAGUUACCAUAAUGGGAAAUCACUUUAAUAUACCCAGCCUCUUGAAAUACAAUUCAGUGCACUCAUAAAACCUUCAUAUACAUGCGUUUUUCCUUCAACAUUCUUUUUUCUUCAUUCAAACAAACUGUGACUGACGCGACUACUUUGAAAUUAAAAUACACGAAUCAUCACUCAGAAAAAUUAGAAAUAACAUUCCUGUCAUGUUACCAGAAUAGUUUACUCAAAAAUUAAAAUGUCCAUCCAAGAUGAUUAGAUUAGUUUGUUUCUUUUUUGGAACAGAUUUUAUCACUUGCUCACCAGUGGAUCCUCUGCAGUGAAUGGGUGCCGUCAGAAUGAAAGUGCAAACAGCUGAUAAAAAUAUCACAAUACGACUCCAGUCCAUCAGUUAACAUUUUGAAGUCAAAGUUUUUAACUUCAAACCGCUGCUUCCGGCUUAAAUACUCUAAAAUAGGAUUCUGCCUAAGAGAGUCCUCUUUCCAUAAUAUUACUUUCUCUUGUCUGGUCUGAAUCAGGGGAUAAAUAUGCACAGAUCAAGCACUGUUUACAAGCAAAAACAGUCCAAACCAUUUCUAAACAAACAUUUUGAUGUUUUAAUCAGCUCUUUGGACUCUUCUGACAGCACUCAUUUCUCAAACCUGUUUCUAUGAAGUAAACUCAUUUAUAUCUUGGAUGGCCUGAGGGGGUGAGCGGAUUUUCAGCUCAUUUUUAAAUUUUUGUGUCAACUAUUCCUUUAAGUUUCCAUCAAUAAUCUUUCUCAUAACACUAAACAAUGUCUAAAAAAGCUAAAACAAUAAGAUAAGGUAUUUCAUAAAAUACUAUGACUUCAUAUAUGACGUGGUCCAUAAUAAUUCAUCAUCUGCAUAUGUAUCAGCAUGAAUUUGGUUUACUCUCAAUUCUUAUUUUAGUGUUCACACUAUUGUAAGUUAUUAUGCAUGAUUGCACAUAUGGUUUCGCCAAUGGGUAGUGUAACCAAAACCUGGUACAGAAAGACAUUCAUAAAGAGUAUCGAUAUUAAUUAAUGCUAUAAUGCCAAUACAUAGUAUGACAACUCAAAAC